GUUCGUCACAACGGCUUCCUGGCGUGGCGGAUGUAACUCGAAUGGAGCA
rnacentral:ncRNA from 1 species